GGGCGUAUAGCUCAGUUGGUUAGAGCGCUUCUCUGAUAAGGAAGAGGUCCAUAGUUCAAAUCUAUGUACGCCCA
rnacentral:tRNA from 1 species